rnacentral:rRNA from 1 species
UAGGGAAUCUUCCGCAAUGGACGAAAGUCUGACGGAGCAACGCCGCGUGAGUGAUGAAGGUUUUCGGAUCGUAAAACUCUGUUGUUAGGGAAGAACAAGUUGGGUAGUAACUGACCCAACCUUGACGGUACCUAACCAGAAAGCCACGGCUAACUACGUGCCAGCAGCCGCGGUAAUACGUAGGUGGCAAGCGUUGUCCGGAAUUAUUGGGCGUAAAGCGCUCGCAGGCGGUCUUUUAAGUCUGAUGUGAAAGCCCACGGCUUAACCGUGGAGGGUCAUUGGAAACUGGAGGACUUGAGUACAGAAGAGGAGAGUGGAAUUCCACGUGUAGCGGUGAAAUGCGCAGAGAUGUGGAGGAACACCAGUGGCGAAGGCGACUCUCUGGUCUGUAACUGACGCUGAGGAGCGAAAGCGUGGGUAGCGAACAGG